UACGUAGGGUGCAAGCGUUAAUCGGAAUUACUGGGCGUAAAGCGUGCGUAGACGGUUAUUUAAGUCGGGUGUGAAAGCCCCGGGCUCAACCUGGGAAUUGCAUUCGAGACUGAAUAGCUAGGGUACGGUAGAGGGAAGCGGAAUUUCCGGUGUAGCGGUGAAAUGCGUAGAUAUCGGAAGGAACAUCAGUGGCGAAAGCGGCUUCCUGGACCAGCUCCGACGUUCAGGCACGAAAGCGUGGGGAGCAAACAGG
rnacentral:rRNA from 1 species